CCGUUUCUAUAUUAGACAGUUUUUACUGUACAAUGUUCGGUUCGAGUUAACAAGUCACUACCGCGACCAUGUGUCAACCGUACCUGUUCAUACUCAGCGGGUGGCGACCACCCUGGCACCCUAUAUCCCCACCAGUAUGGCUCACAGAACACGGUCUCAGAUAUUUACGGAGGAUAAUAAUCUGAACACGACCCGGUUUUGCUUGUGACGUGUAUUAAUCGAGGGUUGGUGAGACUGUGGUCGGUGGGAAUUCGGGGAGUUUAGAUUCAGUGUCUUCAAAAAUCCAGUCUAGGCACGUAGUUAUUUAAUUGUUGACCGUCUCAAUGUGCGUUGUUAAAAAAAUUCGGGUGUUCUGUCCGUGUGCUCGCGUUCAAAUAGAAUUUAUAUAUUAUAUUUAACAAAAAUAAAUAUAUAUUUUUAUUUUUAUACUACACUUACAGACUACAGUAGAUACAUUAUUUACACACAAAUAUUCAAUUUAAUGAAUACUGCUCAAAUAUAUGUCUUUCUGGACGAACUUCGGCUACAACGGGUUGCGGUAUAAUUUGCCACGUCAGAUAAUUCGUUCCGUCAACUACAUACAAAACAGAUUCCUCGAUUUGUCAGACUACAUACCAACCGGGGUCUUUCUAUGUCAGCUACACAUUGGCCGAAAUUUUCGAAUUGAUGUGUUUGUGUUCAUGAACGAUGACAUUCCUAUGACAUUUAUGGACAUUUUGAAUAAUACGUUUAAUUUGAGACUGCAGAUCAUUGAACGCUAGCGGAGCUUCUUCCUUUUCCGGCUAAAGGUGGUUUGUACCUAAAUGUUCGUUGUCAAAUCCUCUAUAUAAGGUGUAAAACACUUAUAAAAUAAAAUAAAUCAAAUUGGAUGGAAACUAAAAAAAUUUAAGGAACAAUUCGGAAUUUUGAAAGAUUCAGUUCAGAUCAAUACAUUAAACCAAAAGCAGAUAUAACAGAUCUAGUUAUCGGAAGUCGUCGGUUGAUGGUCACUAUCAACUUCUAACAAAUACAACAAACUUUAAAUACUAUUCAUAAUAUUAUAUACAAUGGACAUCGACUUUCCUCUAUUAAGGAAACCAAUGAUACAUAUUGUGAUCGACCAAUUGCGAACGAUUUUAACGGUGAUCAAGUUUUUAAUGUUAACGUAUCUUACGGUUUUGAUACAUUUAAUGCUGUCGUAUGUGGUCGACCGACCGCAUUUAGUGAACAGGCGGUUUUUGACACAAUUGAUGAUAGCAAUAGGAUUUUUCAUACUACUGUUAUCAUGGACUGAUGUUCCGCAGUUGGCGAUGAAUCAUCUGAUACAACUUCGAAGCCGAUUAACCGCGGUUUGAUGAGAGUCAUCGAGACAAGACAAUAAUUGGUCAUCUGACGAAAUCAUUAUAAGAUUGUCAUCAGAGUGAUCCAACAUCAUUACAAAAUGUAGAAUGAAGAAUGCACAUUAAAUAUAUAAGCUUCAGAAUAAUGAAAAUAAAUUAUUUGUUAUGAACAUUUUUAUAGUAGAUAGUGAAACUUUCAUAAAAUAAUUUUAAUAACAUUUUCUGUUCAAAGUUUCAUUGUACCUUUGAAUAAUCAUAGAUUUACUUUUUAAAGAUAUAAUAUAGUAAACAUAAUAUAAAACAUAUCAUUGAAUAUUAAAAUGUUAUGCUUGAACAAAAUACAACAUGUUUAAAUCAGUAGUAACGCAUUCUAAAAUUAUAAUUUAUUUUAUUGUACUUACAUUUUUCAACUUUAAAUGUACUUUUUGAAUUUACGUUU